GCGCUCUACCGGGGGUGCCAACACGCGCAUGGUCCCUGCUUGGUCCCUCGGCCUGGCUGGGGACCCCCAGGCGGAUCAGAAGGGACCCCAAAGACACACAACUCUUUCCUGGCCUGUGGAGAGAGUGUACUGAGAGCGCCCGUCACCAUAGCGAUGGGCGCAACAAGGAAGGUGGAAUUCCAGAGGUGGGGGGAGGAGUAGGAUGGAAUCUUUGCUUUGGAACUUGGCCUAAGUGCGUUGGCAUCCUGACUCCUUGAGAAAGAGCCGGUCUGGCGUCCCUCUCGCCGUUGUUUCCAGCAACGUGGCCCUUCUUCCAGCUUUAGGGUGUCCUAAGCCCUUCCAGCUGUCCAGGUCACACUCUGUCACAUGUCGGUGUGAAGAAGAACUGAUGAAAGACCUUAUCUACUGUUAUGGGUUGAACUGUGCCUCUUAAAAAAGGGCUUCCCAUUGCUUGAAGCCAACCAGAAGACAGAAGACAAGGCUUCCUGUUGGUUUGGUCCAUGAACCUGGACACAGAACAAGGGGAGGACAGAUGGAGAACGCCCCUGGAGGCCAUCUAGAAGGUCUCCAGCAUCAUUUCGUGUGGAGCCCUGAGUUAAAAGAAAAAUUAAAGAAUGGGCUUCUCUGGGGUUGACAGAAGCAAAUGUUCUGAGAAACGAGGUCAACUGCAAAAGGCCCACUAGCACCUAGUGCUCAGCUCACAGCCCACCUGCACCCUAGCAUACUGUCUGCAAGGAUUCAGCUCACAGCCCACCUGCACCCAACAUCCUGUCUACAAGCAUUCAGCCCACAGCCCACCUGCACCCUAGCAUACUGUCUACAGGCAUUCAGCUCACAGCCCACCUGCACCCAACCAUCCUGUCUAUAGGCAUUCAGCUCACAGCCCACCUGCACCUAAGCAAUCCUGUCUACAAGCAUUCAGCUCACAGCCCACCUGCACCCAACUAUCCUGUCUACAAGCAUUCAGCUCACAGCCCACCUGCACCCAACCAUCCUGUCUACAAGCAUUCAGCUCACAGCCCACCUGCAC